rnacentral:rRNA from 1 species
UACGUAGGGGGCAAGCGUUGUCCGGAAUUAUUGGGCGUAAAGAGCGUGUAGGCGGUCCGGUAAGUCGGCUGUGAAAGUCCAGGGCUCAACCCUGGGAUGCCGGUGGAUACUGUCGAGCUCGAGUCCGGAAGAGGAGUGUGGAAUUCCUGGUGUAGCGGUGAAAUGCGCAGAUAUCAGGAGGAACACCAAUGGCGAAGGCAGCACUCUGGGACGUGACUGACGCUGAGACGCGAAAGCGUGGGGAGCAAACAGG